GCUAGCGUAGCUUAAUUUUCAAAGCAUGACACUGAAGAUGUUAUGAUGAGCCUUAAAAAACUCCGCAGGCA
rnacentral:tRNA from 1 species